rnacentral:rRNA from 1 species
UACGGAGGGGGCUAGCGUUGUUCGGAAUUACUGGGCGUAAAGCGCACGUAGGCGGCUUUGCAAGUUAGAGGUGAAAGCCCGGGGCUCAACUCCGGAAUUGCCUUUAAACUGUCAAUCGCUAGAAUUGUGGAGAGGUAAGGUGGAAUUCCGGAGUGUAGAGGUGAAAUUCGUAGAUAUUCGGAAGAACACCAGUGGCGAAGGCGACUUACUGGACACAUAUUGACGCUGAGGUGCGAAAGCGUGGGGAGCAACAGG